UACGUAGGGUGCAAGCGUUGUCCGGAAUUAUUGGGCGUAAAGAGCUCGUAGGCGGUCUGUCGCGUCGGCUGUGAAAACCCGGGGCUCAACCCCGGGCCUGCAGUCGAUACGGGCAGGCUAGAGUUCGGUAGGGGAGACUGGAAUUCCUGGUGUAGCGGUGAAAUGCGCAGAUAUCAGGAGGAACACCGGUGGCGAAGGCGGGUCUCUGGGCCGUAACUGACGCUGAGGAGCGAAAGCAUGGGGAGCGAACAGG
rnacentral:rRNA from 1 species